rnacentral:rRNA from 1 species
GGUAUACUAAAGUCUUCAAAAAAGAACAUAUAGCAUUGCGUUGCAUGUAGUAACGGAUGCGAUCAUACCAGCACUAAUGCACUGGAUCCCAUAAGAAUUCCGCAGUUAAGCCUGCUUUGGCGAGACUUGUACUAGGAUGAAUGACCUCCAGGAAAGUCCUCGUGUUGCAUCCCUC